UCUAUUACAUAUAAUAAAGUAAACUCAAUGUGUACACGUGGCAACUUUUUAGAUGAAUGAAUUGUUGAUUUUGGCGGGGGUUUGGUAUUGAGAAUGAGUUCGUAUAUGGGUCUAUACAUACCCGAAUUCCUCUUGAUUCGGAUCCAUUAGAAACAAAAGAACCCCUUAUCCCUCUUUUGCAGAAACCCUAGCGUCAAAAUCUCUCAGCCAAUCUCUCAGCCAAUUCCUUCUUCUUCCCUUCAAUGCACAGCGAUCUACAAGAUGAUAAAGGCGUUUGGUUUAUGAUGUGCUUUUGAAGCAGGCAACUUUAGUUAAAGAUCAAGUUAUUGAGAAGUGAAGAAGUUUGUUCAGAGUAUGCCAAGACACUCUAUUUAGAUGAUGUUGCUUCAGUUGCACUCAUUCCAACUCCAGUUUCAGUUUCAACAAAUCCAAAGUGGCUACUGAACUCGCAUUAAAAUACAUUACACUUAGACCUUUCAGUUGGGAUCAAGAUACUGACAAAGUCAAUGGUAAUACCAACGGUUCUAGGAACAAAACCAGAAUUACUCUGACAAUUUAUGUGUUCUUUUGAACGAAGAUAGAAUCUUGAUUAUAAAAAAGAACUCCAAAUCUAAUGAAUCUGUUUGGUUUCUUGAGGUAAUAGUAUUCACAUUUAUUGAUCUUGAAAUGAUAGCGUUCGUUAGGUUUUAUUAGGUGGACACACAAUUUAGACGAGACCAAAAAAGUUUGAAACAAAAGUUGUUGCUUGGAGUGAGGGGUUAUUGGUAAUGCUGAGCGGCCCAUAGUAAUUAGUAGCCCGUGUAUGUCGGGUUUGUAAUAUGUCAAAAACGUUUUGUCAAGUGAUGGUUUGAUUUGAAUUCACUAAAUUUUAUGGUUUGCAAGUAUAUCAUGAAGAUAUGAAGAUGUUUUGAUGAUGAUACCAAGUUUAAACCACUAUAACUAAAUGAAAUUGUUCUGACUUAUUUAGAGAUGUAUGAACAAUUUAUAUAUUUUGUUUAAAAAUUAUGUGUAUUUAAUUUUCAACU
rnacentral:lncRNA from 1 species